GGGGGGGGGGGGGGGGGGGGGGGGAGAACAUUAUGGGGAGUAUUGAAUUAGCCGAAAACGCAGAGUUCGUAAUUUAGUUUUUAGAUUGGAAUGUGCUAUGCAUUACUAAAAGAGUUUUUUUUUCUGGAGAUGAAUCUAAAUGGUCUGACGGUCUGAGUACUCGUCGGCAUGACAAGGUGACUACAGAUCCACCAUAACAUGUGAGUGGCAAUGCUCCAGGACAAGCAGCCGGCGAUGGCAUACCUUCACAGAAUGGAGUACGGCGUAGGUGUUCAAGGGUUGUAUCAGGCCGCAUGGGAAGAACCUGAAGUUGCAAGUGGAUACAGUCAAGAACAUAGUUAAAGGUGAUAUGGGAGAUAAGUUCCAUAGGCAAGCUGGAUUGAGGCUUGAUGAGCCGAACCCAAGGGACGUGCUUAGUUUCUACCACAAAAUUCUAUCAUUCACAUCAACGGAUGUUGCAAAGAAGUGGUUCAAGCAUACUUAUCCAAAUCUUAUAAUCCUGAGGGAGAAGACUUUGUGAAGGAGUUCAGGCUGAAUGGCCAGUUAACAAGAAUCGGGUGGAUCUGCGUGUGGUGGAUGAUCGUUUACAAGGAAUGUUGAAUGUAUGGUUCCUGCAGAUGUUCAGGUGGCGCCACGUAUUCGACCUGCGAUUUGUGAAACAGUGAAGUCACUGCCAUCGCCAUGAGAGUGGAGCAGCAUCACUAUAAGAUGUGGCGGAUUGGUGGGUCCCGGGUCAAAAAGUGCCCAAGACUCGCGCAACCAAGUUUUCUGGAGGCCGAGCAACAUGACAUAGCCACGGACAAAAUGGAGGAAGGGAAGGGUGUGGAGGAGAGGGGAAUUUACCACUUCGCGCAACGGCAAUGUUGCGUGAGGGGCAUUCAUCUUCCACCUGAGCCGCAUAUGCAACUAAUUGUUCAAUAAACAUUCUUGCAAGAGCAAGAGGCUCGCCACUGUUGGUCGUUAGUACUCUUGCUUAUAAUUUCUUCACUUCAACUUAUAAGGAAACAUAGUAAUGCUUGAUGCACGACUUGAUACCUUCAA